GGGGUACAGCUCAGUGGUAGAGCACAUGCUUAAUAUGCAUGAGGCCCUGGGUUCAAUCUCCAGCCCCA
rnacentral:tRNA from 1 species